rnacentral:tRNA from 1 species
UCUAAUAUGGCAGAUUAGUGCACUGGUCUUAAGCACCAAUUAUAAAAUUUAUUUUUUUUAGAA